UGGCGGCAUGCCUUACACAUCAAGUCGAACGGCAGCACGGGUGCUUGCACCUGGUGGCGAGUGGCGAACGGGUGAGUAAUACAUCGGAACAUGUCCUGUAGUGGGGGAUAGCCCGGCGAAAGCCGGAUUAAUACCGCAUACGAUCUACGGAUGAAAGCGGGGGACCUUCGGGCCUCGCGCUAUAGGGUUGGCCGAUGGCUGAUUAGCUAGUUGGUGGGGUAAAGGCCUACCAAGGCGACGAUCAGUAGCUGGUCUGAGAGGACGACCAGCCACACUGGGACUGAGACACGGCCCAGACUCCUACGGGAGGCAUGGAAUUUUGGACAAUGGGCGAAAGCCUGAUCCAGCAAUGCCGCGUGUGUGAAGAAGGCCUUCGGGUUGUAAAGCACUUUUGUCCGGAAAGAAAUCCUUGGCUCUAAUACAGUCGGGGGAUGACGGUACCGGAAGAAUAAGCACCGGCUAACUACGUGCCAGCAGCCGCGGUAAUACGUAGGGUGCGAGCGUUAAUCGGAAUUACUGGGCGUAAAGCGUGCGCAGGCGGUUUGCUAAGACCGAUGUGAAAUCCCCGGGCUCAACCUGGGAACUGCAUUGGUGACUGGCAGGCUAGAGUAUGGCAGAGGGGGGUAGAAUUCCACGUGUAGCAGUGAAAUGCGUAGAGAUGUGGAGGAAUACCGAUGGCGAAGGCAGCCCCCUGGGCCAAUACUGACGCUCAUGCACGAAAGCGUGGGGAGCAAACAGGAUUAGAUACCCUGGUAGUCCACGCCCUAAACGAUGUCAACUAGUUGUUGGGGAUUCAUUUCCUUAGUAACGUAGCUAACGCGUGAAGUUGACCGCCUGGGGAGUACGGUCGCAAGAUUAAAACUCAAAGGAAUUGACGGGGACCCGCACAAGCGGUGGAUGAUGUGGAUUAAUUCGAUGCAACGCGAAAAACCUUACCUACCCUUGACAUGGUCGGAAUCCCGCUGAGAGGUGGGAGUGCUCGAAAGAGAACCCGCACAGGUGCUGCAUGGCUGUCGUCAGCUCGUCGUGAGAUGUUGUUAAGUCCCGCAACGAGCGCAACCCUUGUCCUUAGUUGCUACGCAAGAGCACUCUAAGGAGACUGCCGGUGACAAACCGGAGGAAGGUGGGGAUGACGUCAAGUCCUCAUGGCCCUUAUGGGUAGGGUUCACACGUCAUACAAUGGUCGGAACAGAGGGUUGCCAACCCGCGAGGGGGAGUAAUCCCAGAAAACCGAUCGUAGUCCGGAUUGCACUCUGCAACUCGAGUGCAUGAAGCUGGAAUCGCUAGUAAUCGCGGAUCAGCAUGCCGCGGUGAAUACGUUCCCGGGUCUUGUACACACCGCCCGUCACACCAUGGGAGUGGGUUUUACCAGAAGUGGCUAGUCUAACCGCAAGGAGGACGGUCACCACGGUAGGAUUCAUGACUGGGGUGAAGUCGUAACAAGUACCGUA
rnacentral:rRNA from 1 species